CUUCAGCCUUUUCCACUUUGUUCUGUGCCUCGGCAGUUGGACAACUUCGUCAGGCUCCCUUACCCCCUGGUUCGAGAUGGUCCUGGAUGCUCUGGUCAUCUUACCGCAAGUCUGUGGAACUUUCAGAUGACUCUUCUUCAAAUGCUUUAAUGGGCCACUUUUUGAAAGCACUAUUGACCACCUCUUUGAUGUGGAGUUUGCUGCAGGCAGAAUCAGUGGAAUGUGUGUGACCUUCACCAUCUUGUUGAAUGAUUGCCCAUCGGAAAAUACAAAAAGUGAAG